CGAAAUGCGAUAAGUAAUGUGAACUGCAGAAUUCAGUGAAUCAUCGAAUCUUUGAACGCACCUUGCGCUCCUUGGUAUUCCUUGGAGCAUGCCUGUUUGAGUAUCAUGAAAUCUUCAAAGUAAAUCUUUUGUUAACUCAAUUGGUUUCUACUUUGGUAUUGGAGGUCUUUGCAGCUUCACACCUGCUCCUCUUUGUUCAUUAGCUGGAUCUCAGUGUUAUGCUUGGUUCCACUCGGCGUGAUAAGUUAUCUAUCGCUGAGGACACUGUAAAAGGUGGCCAAGGUAAAUGCAGAUGAACCGCUUCUAAUAGUCCAUUGACUUGGACAAUACUUUUAUGAUCUGAUCUCAAAUCAGGUAGGACUACCCGCUGAACUUAAGC
rnacentral:misc_RNA from 1 species